UGGUGAUGUCAUCUGGGUCCCUCUCUAUGGCCCAGUUUGAUCAGGACCUCUCUCAGGACUAGAAUGAUGAAGGCUCACCAGUGCUAUGGCAGAUCCCUGGUUCCCAAGAGAUGCUGAGGGUGUCAGUCAUGAAGGCAGAAGAUUAAAGAUCCCAGAAGGAGGACUGUGGCCCAGAGACAGCAAAGGACUGUGUAUUGUUUUCUUGGAAUUCUGAUAUCCUGUAAAGGGAGGAUUCUCUGGUUUGGUGGAAAGCUAAACCACAUUCAGUCACCUAACCAGCCACAGGAAAGCUGAAGAACAAACCACCCAACCAGCCGGGGGAGACUGUACCAGAGUAGGGAAACUGGACAUACCCUACAUCCUGACACAAGAAAGGGAUGCUGCAAGAUGCCACCUUCCCACCAGUUGGCUUGUCAACAGCCAAGCUGUCUCUUCUUCUAGCCACAAAAAGAGUCAUCUCAUUGAAGGAAUCAGCAGAGCCUCAGGCUGCUGGUGCACACAGGGACAGAAGAAUAGACCCAUCCCCUCAACCUUAACAGCAGUCUCCCUCGGGGAAGAAGGGGCACGGAGAGAAGAGAAACAGAAUGGAUUGGACGUUGGAAGAAGAGAGAGAGUAAUGAGGAGGAUCCUAAAGAGACAGCUGAAUACACAAAGGGAGAAGCAAAGGAAGCAGAGUGAGUAGAAUAAGGGAAAUAAAGGGGAACAGACUGUAUCGUAUGAAAGAGUGAAAUGGGCUGAAUAAUACAGGAAAAGGGUAAAGAAUGAGAAGAAAGGGAAUGCUGCUGCUCAUAGAAAGGAAAGUUGAUAGAACAAUACAAAUGGAAA